UUAUAAAAUAUAAUAGUAAGCUUUAAACCAGCUAUCUCUCAGAUUACGUUUUAGUUCAUUAUUUUUUAUUUUGAUUUUAUAAUUAUUUUAGGUUUUUUAUUAAGAUUAUUUAUUUAAUUUUAAAAUUUUUGUAAUAAUGAUAGAAUUAGUAUAUUUAUUUGUAUAUAAUUUUUACCUUGUGAAUUUAUUAUAAGGAACUAGGCAAAAUUGAUUUCCGCCUUUUUAUCAAAAACAUGUCCUCUUGAAAAUACUUUGAGGUCUGGCCUGCUCACUGAGCAGAUUUUUAAAGAGCCGCGGUAUUUUGACCGUGCAAAGGUAGCAUAAUCAUUAGUCUCUUAAUUAGUGGCUGGAAUGAAUGGCUUGACGAG